rnacentral:lncRNA from 1 species
UUCCUGUACCAUUUUUAGGCAUCACAAACCAUAAUAUAAUGAAUCACAUAAUUUCUUUUGAGAAAGAACAAUCACAUGUAACUACUUCAUAUAUGAUUCUUUUAUAAAUCUCGUUACAUUACUUAUCGUAACAGGAUACAUACAUAUAAAUAUUAGAAAGUCUAAGGUCUCUUAAGAAAAUUCUUGAACCAUUGUGCUGA